CAGAUUAGCUAGUUGGUGAGGUAAAGGCUCACCAAGGCGACGAUCUGUAGCGGGUCUGAGAGGAUGAUCCGCCACACUGGAACUGAGACACGGUCCAGACUCCUACGGGAGGCAGCAGUGGGGAAUUUUGGACAAUGGGGGCAACCCUGAUCCAGCCAUGCCGCGUGAGUGAAGAAGGCCUUCGGGUUGUAAAGCUCUUUCGGCCGGGAAGAAAUCGUAUCAGCUAAUACCUGGUGCGGAUGACGGUACCGGCAUAAGAAGCACCGGCUAACUACGUGCCAGCAGCCGCGGUAAUACGUAGGGUGCGAGCGUUAAUCGGAAUUACUGGGCGUAAAGCGUGCGCA
rnacentral:rRNA from 1 species